rnacentral:rRNA from 1 species
AUUGAACGCUGGCGGCAGGCCUAACACAUGCAAGUCGAGCGGAUGAAGGGAGCUUGCUCCUGGAUUCAGCGGCGGACGGGUGAGUAAUGCCUAGGAAUCUGCCUGGUAGUGGGGGAUAACGUCCGGAAACGGGCGCUAAUACCGCAUACGUCCUGAGGGAGAAAGUGGGGGAUCUUCGGACCUCACGCUAUCAGAUGAGCCUAGGUCGGAUUAGCUAGUUGGUGGGGUAAAGGCCUACCAAGGCGACGAUCCGUAACUGGUCUGAGAGGAUGAUCAGUCACACUGGAACUGAGACACGGUCCAGACUCCUACGGGAGGCAGCAGUGGGGAAUAUUGGACAAUGGGCGAAAGCCUGAUCCAGCCAUGCCGCGUGUGUGAAGAAGGUCUUCGGAUUGUAAGGCACUUUAAGUGGGGAGGAAGGGCAGUAAGUUAAUACCUUGCUGUUUUGACGUUACCAACAGAAUAAGCACCGGCUAACUUCGUG